UUAGGGUUCUGACAAGAUUAAUAGGGAACGUUGUGAAAAUCAACGGCUAUACCCGUAGCUGUGAGUCCUGAAACAUACAUUUUCACACCAAGUCACUGACUUUUCGGUUGGGAAGACGUGAAAAUGGGGACGAGCCAGAAGACCUGCCUUGACGU
rnacentral:ncRNA from 1 species